CAUCCUCAGAGGACACCACAGCAGAGGAAAUAGGCCCAUUACCUUUGCAGCUUCGAACAACAGAGACACUAUCCCUGGCAGGCCCUUUGGUUUCACAGAAGGCAGCAGAAACUUUGAAACCCCUGCUUUUUCCCUGGCCACAGAUGCAUGAAGUAUAUCAGGGGUCAUGAUUUAUGGGACCACAGCAAGAUUUCAUCUGGAAUAACGUUUACUUGUAUUCAGAGGAGGAAAAGUAACUGACCCGUGCCUUCCUGCAGCCCUUCCCUAAUUCUGACACAAUGGUUCUGGAAGAAAAUGAUCAAUUUCCUCACAAAAUCCCUUUCCUGCAGCAGACAGAGCUUCACAGGCUCGGAGCAUUGCACAGAGUAUCUGGAUUUCCCCUUUCCAUUACUCAAGCACUCACUGUAUUGUGGAAGAUUGGAUAAGGCAAAAUCAUAAUGCAGAGGUCCCCCUUGCUGUGACAAACACUUACGCAGAAGACAAGAAGCAAACUGGGCAUUGCAGAAAGUGUCCAAAGCCAUUAAUGAUUUCACUUCCUCUCCAUUCUACUACUGAGAGAGCAAGCAAUUGGCAAGCAACCUCAUCCGCCCAAAUCCUGACAGAAGCCAGAGGGCUG
rnacentral:lncRNA from 1 species